rnacentral:rRNA from 1 species
AGCGAACGCUGGCGGCAGGCCUAACACAUGCAAGUCGAACGAACCUUUCGGGGUUAGUGGCGGACGGGUGAGUAACACGUGGGAACGUGCCUUUAGGUUCGGAAUAACUCAGGGAAACUUGUGCUAAUACCGAAUGUGCCCUUCGGGGGAAAGAUUUAUCGCCUUUAGAGCGGCCCGCGUCUGAUUAGCUAGUUGGUUGAGGUAAUGGCUCACCAAGGCGACGGUCAGUAGCUGGUCUGAGAGGAUGAUCAGCCACAUUGGGACUGGGGCACGGCCCAAACUCCUGCGGGGGGCAGCAGUGGGGAAUUUGGCGAAAUGGGCGAAAGCCUGACGCAGCCUGGCCGGGGGAAUGAUGAAGGUUUUAGGAUGGUAAAAUUCUUUCACCGGGGACGAUAAUGGCGGUACCCGGAGAAGAAGCCCCGGCUAACUUCGU